rnacentral:rRNA from 1 species
AUGAGUUUCAAAGUGGCAAUUCUAUCGAUUCAUUUGAUAACCUUAUUAGCUCGUGAAUUUUGGGGGUUACGUGAUUCGGCAGAAAAAGGAAUGAUAGUUACCUUUUUUUCUAUAACAAGAUUGUUAGUUUCUCGUUCGGAUUCUUCGGGGCAUUUUACAUUAACUAAUUAGUAUGACUCAUUGAUCUUUCUCUCAUGGGCUUUGUAUCUCCAUAGCAUUCCGAAAAUACAUAACUCUAAAAAUGAUUUGAGCACAAUAACUACACCAAGUACUAUUUUAACGCAAGACUUUGCCACGUCAGGUCUUUUAACUGAAAUGCAUCAAUUCAUGAUACUAGCACCUGCUCUAUAAUCCUAGUGGUUAAUGAUGCAUGUCAGUAUGAUGUUAUUAAGCUAUGCCACUCUUUUGUCUGGAUCCUUAUUAUUUGCCACUAUUAUAAUCAUUAGAUUUCAAAAUAAUUUCCAUUUCUUUUCUAAAAUGAAAAUAGUGUUUGAUAAAACAUUUUUCUUUGGUGAGACUACUAUUUCUAUGCAAAAACAAGUGCUUUAAAAAGCACCUCGUCCCUUCAUUUCCAACUUAUUACAAAUAUCAAUUAAUAGAGUAUUUGCAUUCUGGAAGUUAUUGUGUCAUUAG